rnacentral:tRNA from 2 species
GCCCUCGUAGCUCAACGGAUAGAGCGCUUGUCUUCGGAACAAGAGGCUAGGGGUUCGAGUCCCUUCGAGGGUA